GACUGGAUAGGUCAGUCGGUAGACCAUGAGACUCUUAAUUACAGGGUUGUGGGUUCAAGUCUCACAUUAGGCA